AGGGCGUGGUAAGCGAUGAAAUGCUUCAGGGAGUUGAAAAUGAGCAUAGAUCCGGAGAUUCUUGAAUAGGUUAACCUUUUUAACUGCUUCUUAAUCCAUGGGCAGGCAAGAGACAACCUAGCGAACUGAAACAUCUUAGUAGCUAGAGGAAUAGAAAGAAAAAGCGAUUUAUGUAGUAGUGGCGAGCGAAAUGGGA
rnacentral:ncRNA from 1 species